AUUGAACGCUGGCGGCAGGCCUAACACAUGCAAGUCGAACGGUAGCACAGAGAGCUUGCUCUCGGGUGACGAGUGGCGGACGGGUGAGUAAUGUCUGGGAAACUGCCCGAUGGAGGGGGAUAACUACUGGAAACGGUAGCUAAUACCGCAUAACGUCUUCGGACCAAAGUGGGGGACCUUCGGGCCUCACACCAUCGGAUGUGCCCAGAUGGGAUUAGCUAGUAGGUGGGGUAAUGGCUCACCUAGGCGACGAUCCCUAGCUGGUCUGAGAGGAUGACCAGCCACACUGGAACUGAGACACGGUCCAGACUCCUACGGGAGGCAGCAGUGGGGAAUAUUGCACAAUGGGCGCAAGCCUGAUGCAGCCAUGCCGCGUGUAUGAAGAAGGCCUUCGGGUUGUAAAGUACUUUCAGCGGGGAGGAAGGCGAUGUGGUUAAUAACCGCAUCGAUUGACGUUACCCGCAGAAGAAGCACCGGCUAACUCCGUGCCAGCCGCCGCUGUAAAAC
rnacentral:rRNA from 1 species